UUUUGAAAGGGAAACGAUUGAAGCCAGUCGUACCUGCGGGUAAUCAGCCUUUUGGGUGUGAUUAUGUGGAGCGUGAGGAGCUAAUCGCCUUCAUCUUUGCAUAUUCGUGCACUUUGGGUGUACUUGCUCGUGUGGUAGGUUAACAUCAAUUUUGAUCGUCAUAAAAUGACUGGGGGAAUGUAGCUUCGAUCUCGUAUUGAAGUGUUAUAGCCUUUGGUAGAUGUGAUGAUUAGGAUUGAGGAUUGCAACGGAUACCCUUCGGGGCUACCUGUCUGAUCUCUGAGAGUUGCUCUGGUGCUGAAAGCGUGCUUAUGGUAUCAAAGUUGACGUUCAACAGGUUAGAAUGGGAUAAGUUCGUU
rnacentral:rRNA from 1 species